rnacentral:lncRNA from 1 species
CCGCUGCAUAACGAAUUGCGUCAAAACCAAAUCUCUCUUCGGCAAUCGAAACAACGAGUCCUAAACUCGUAAUCGAAAUCAAAUACACCUCGAAGACAAGGCCAAACACCAAAACCACAAACCUGAAAGCUGGAGAUGGGGAAAUGGAAGCGAGGGUGUUAGGGACAAUAGAGUAGGCUACGAGAAUGGCGUAGAUGCAAAUGGUGGUAACAAGAGGACGAGUCCAGGAGGUUUUGAAGCCGGAGAGAGAGGAUUUGAGAGAAGGGCGUUUGGAAUGGAAGGAGAGAAGAGUUGAGGAGACGGUGGAGACAGCGAGGAAGAGGGAAAAGGCGUAGAUGGGGAGGAAGAAGGCGGCACGAAGACGGAGGAGGGAGAAAGCGUCGUUACGGGACUCGGAGAAGACAUGGCGGAAUUCGAAACGGGUGGGGGAAUGGCGGAGGACGGAUUCGAGGUGGAGGAUAUGGGAUUUGAGAGGGUGAGAGGAGAGAGAGAGGGUGAAGAGGAGGAGAGAGAGAGGUAGGGAGAGGAGGAGGAAGAUGGAGAGGAAAUGGCGUUUGUUUCUGGAGAAGAUUUGAAGGGAAUGGAAAAGGAUUUUGAAGAAGAAACAGAGAGAUUCACGAGGAGAAGGAGGAGGGAGAUGAUGAAGAUGAUGAUGAAGAUGAUGAAGAUGAGAAGGAGAAGGAGAAGGAGAAGGAGAGUCUUCUCUUUCAGACAUUUUCUUUUUCCUCCG